rnacentral:rRNA from 1 species
GACGAACGCUGGCGGCGUGCCUAAUACAUGCAAGUAGAACGCUGAAGAGAGGAGCUUGCUCUUCUUGGAUGAGUUGCGAACGGGUGAGUAACGCGUAGGUAACCUGCCUUGUAGCGGGGGAUAACUAUUGGAAACGAUAGCUAAUACCGCAUAACAAUGGAUGACACAUGUCAUUUAUUUGAAAGGGGCAAUUGCUCCACUACAAGAUGGACCUGCGUUGUAUUAGCUAGUAGGUGAGGUAAUGGCUCACCUAGGCGACGAUACAUAGCCGACCUGAGAGGGUGAUCGGCCACACUGGGACUGAGACACGGCCCAGACUCCUACGGGAGGCAGCAGUAGGGAAUCUUCGGCAAUGGGGGCAACCCAGACCGAGCAACGCCGCGUGAGUGAAGAAGGUUUUCGGAUCGUAAAGCUCUGUUGUAAGUCAAGAACGGGUGUGAGAGUGGAAAGUUCACACUGUGACGGUAGCUUACCAGAAAGGGACGGCUAACUACGUG